rnacentral:rRNA from 1 species
UACGUAUGGUGCAAGCGUUAUCCGGAUUUACUGGGCGUAAAGGGUGCGUAGGUGGUUUCUUAAGUCAGAGGUGAAAGGCUACGGCUCAACCGUAGUAAGCCUUUGAAACUGGGAAACUUGAGUGCAGGAGAGGAGAGUGGAAUUCCUAGUGUAGCGGUGAAAUGCGUAGAGAUUAGGAAGAACACCAGUGGCGAAGGCGAUUCUCUGGACUGUAACUGACGCUGAGGCUCGAAAGCGUGGGGAGCAAACAGG